AAUAGAUACCCCCGGUAGCCCACGCCGUAAACGAUGAGUGCUAAGUGUUGGGGGGGUUUCCGCCCCUCAGUGCUGCAGCUAACGCAUUAAGCACUCCGCCUGGGGAGUACGGUCGCAAGACUGAAACUCAAAGGAAUUGACGGGGGCCCGCACAAGCGGUGGAGCAUGUGGUUUAAUUCGAAGCAACGCGAAGAACCUUACCAGGUCUUGACAUCCCGGUGACCACUAUGGAGACAUAGUUUCCCCUUCGGGGGCAACGGUGACAGGUGGUGCAUGGUUGUCGUCAGCUCGUGUCGUGAGAUGUUGGGUUAAGUCCCGCAACGAGCGCAACCCUUAUUCUCAGUUGCCAUCAUUCAGUUGGGCACUCUAAGGAGACUGCCGGUGAUAAACCGGAGGAAGGUGGGGAUGACGUCAAAUCAUCAUGCCCCUUAUGACCUGGGCUACACACGUGCUACAAUGGACGGUACAAACGGUUGCCAACCCGCGAGGGGGAGCUAAUCCGAUAAAACCGUUCUCAGUUCGGAUUGUAGGCUGCAACUCGCCUAC
rnacentral:rRNA from 1 species